rnacentral:rRNA from 1 species
AUACGGAGGAUCCGAGCGUUAUCCGGAUUUAUUGGGUUUAAAGGGAGCGUAGGCGGAGGAUCAAGUCAGCUGUGAAAUGUAGACGCUCAACGUCUGCACUGCAGUUGAAACUGGUCCCCUUGAGUGCGUAAGGGGCAGGCGGAAUUCGUCGUGUAGCGGUGAAAUGCUUAGAUAUGACGAAGAACUCCGAUCGCGAAGGCAGCUGGCCGGGCCGCAACUGACGCUGAAGCUCGAAGGUGCGGGUAUCGAACAGGAUUAGAUACCCUGGAAGUCCGCACAGUAAACGAUGGAUACUCGCUGUCGGCGAUAUACGGUCGGUGGCCAAGCGAAAGCGUUAAGUAUCCCACCUGGGGAGUACGCCGGCAACGGUGAAACUCAAAGGAAUUGACGGGG